rfam:TPA: Bos taurus chromosome 3, whole genome shotgun sequence.
CCUGAUAGUUCAGUUGGUAAAGAAUCUGCCUGCAAUGCAGGAGACCCAGGUUCAAUUCCUGGGUCAGGA